CGGAGGAUCCAAGCGUUAUCCGGAAUCAUUGGGUUUAAAGGGUCCGUAGGCGGUUUAGUAAGUCAGUGGUGAAAGCCCAUCGCUCAACGGUGGAACGGCCAUUGAUACUGCUAGACUUGAAUUAUUGGGAAGUAACUAGAAUAUGUAGUGUAGCGGUGAAAUGCUUAGAGAUUACAUGGAAUACCAAUUGCGAAGGCAGGUUACUACCGAUGGAUUGACGCUGAUGGACGAAAGCGUGGGUAGCGAACAGGAUUAGAUACCCUGGUAGUCCACGCCGUAAACGAUGGAUACUAGCUGUUGGGGGCAACUUCAGUGGCUAAGCGAAAGUGAUAAGUAUCCCACCUGGGGAGUACGGGCGCAAGCCUG
rnacentral:rRNA from 1 species